rnacentral:rRNA from 1 species
AACGAACGCUGGCGGCAUGCCUAACACAUGCAAGUCGAACGAGACCUUCGGGUCUAGUGGCGCACGGGUGCGUAACGCGUGGGAACCUGCCCUUAGGUUCGGAAUAACUCCCCGAAAGGGGUGCUAAUACCGGAUAAUGUCUUCGGACCAAAGAUUUAUCGCCUUUGGAUGGGCCCGCGUUGGAUUAGCUAGUUGGUAGGGUAAAAGCCUACCAAGGCGACGAUCCAUAGCUGGUCUGAGAGGAUGAUCAGCCACACUGGGACUGAGACACGGCCCAGAAUCCUACGGGAGGCAGCAGUGGGGAAUAUUGGACAAUGGGCGAAAGCCUGAUCCAGCAAGGCCGGGUGAGUGAUGAAGGCCUUAGGGUUGUAAAGCUCUUUUACCCGGGAUGAUAAUGACAGUACCGGGAGAAUAAGCUCCGGCUAACUCCGUG